GUGAAGUUGAAUGCUACUGCGAAAGAUGUCAAAAAUAGUCAGGUGGUUGUUGAUCUGGAAAUCCAGAAGGGUUCAAUUCAGGCACAAACAAUUGGGAAAGAGUGCCGAUUGGCUACAGGUUCAAUCGAUAAUGUUGUAGCAAUUGCAACAAUUACAGAAGUCAAUGGUGAAAACAAUAGCCAGCUUAUCCAUGGUGUUCCAUUGGGCAAGGGAAACAAGCGUGUGUCAAUUGUCACUUCUCUAGUGGAUGAAGCUAAGCUUCCAUUUCCGAUCAAAGAUGAAAUAGUGACUGUUCGAGAUGCUAUCGGGACUUAUGUGGCCUGGCCUGAAAACCUUAUAAUUUUUCAAUGCGAGUCUAAGACGGCAGCAAAGAGUAAAGGAUUGAAGAAGAGAAAAAGGGCAGAUGAAGAUGAUGAUGAAGAGGAAGAUAUAGACACUGCAUCACUGCCACCAACUACUCCUGCAUCUCUUAUUGCGGUAUGCAAUUGGGCCAAAGAAAGAAUGAG